ACUGUUUUAGAAAUGUUUAUAAAUGGGAUUUACUCUUUUUUUUUAUAUAUAUAUAUAUAUAUUUGCAUGUGAAAACUGAGACAUCCUCAGGCUCCUAAGCCUGAUUUCAGAGGGCUUUAAAUGGAGAGCACACAAUGUAAUUUAACAGGUUUCCACAAACGAUUAGUGGAACAAAGGCAAAUUUA